rnacentral:rRNA from 1 species
GGGGAAUAUUGGACAAUGGGCGAAAGCCUGAUCCAGCAAUGCCGCGUGAGUGAUGAAGGCCUUAGGGUUGUAAAGCUCUUUUACCCGGGAUGAUAAUGACAGUACCUGGAGAAUAAGCUCCGGCUAACUCCGUGCCAGCAGCCGCGGUAAUACGGAGGGAGCUAGCGUUAUUCGGAAUUACUGGGCGUAAAGCGCACGUAGGCGGCUUUGUAAGUUAGGGGUGAAAGCCUGGAGCUCAACUCCAGAAUUGCCUUUAAGACUGCAUCGCUUGAAUCCAGGAGAGGUGAGUGGAAUUCCGAGUGUAGAGGUGAAAUUCGUAGAUAUUCGGAAGAACACCAGUGGCGAAGGCGGCUCACUGGACUGGUAUUGACGCUGAGGUGCGAAAGCGUGGGGAGCAAAC